rnacentral:pre_miRNA from 1 species
UGUUAAAAGUUUAAUCUACUUUUACUAUUAAAAACUAGUGUGAUUAAUGAAAUAACUAAACAAUUACAUGUGACGUGCCACAUAUACCUUAUGUUAACGUACAAUGAUCAGUUUGUAACAGUAAUGAGAUUUUUAAUA